rnacentral:rRNA from 1 species
UAGGGAAUAUUGCGCAAUGGGGGAAACCCUGACGCAGCGACGCCGCGUGAGCGAUGAAGGCCUUCGGGUUGUAAAGCUCUGUCGUAUGGGAAUAACAAAAUGAAUGUACCAUGCAAGAAAGGAUCGGCUAACUUCGUGCCAGCAGCCGCGGUAAGACGAGGGAUCCUAGCGUUGUUCGGAAUCAUUGGGCGUAAAGCGGGUGUAGGUGGGCUAGUAUGUCAGAUGUGAAAUCCCGGGGCUUAACUCCGGAAGUGCAUUUGAAACUGCUAGUCUUGAGUGUGGUAGAGGCUAUUAGAAUUCCUGGUGUAGUGGUGAAAUACGUAGAUAUCAGGAGGAAUACCAGAGGCGAAGGCGGAUAGCUGGGCCAACACUGACACUGAGACCCGAAAGCGUGGGGAUCAAACA